GAAAUAUAUUAAGGUUCCUUUCUCCUUUCCUUUGCAAGUGUGAUAUGGAUAAUGCUAUCUCCAUCCCUCCCAAAAGUUAUUCCUUCAGCAUGUUGGAAAUCAAGGAGUUUUUGGAGUAUGCAGAGAUCCAGAUUGUGGUUGUAUUGGAUCUUAUGGAAAGAGCCAUCUGUUCUCUCUCUCUAUCCUCUCCCAUUCUCCUCGAUAUGGCAACCGAUGCCUUUUUUAACAUUCCCAAGCCUGGGACCAAAAUGUAACAUUUCACCCAAAAUUCCUGGGUUUCGACACAUUCCUGAACUAUUGUUUAUUAUUUUUUUUUGUAGGCAGGAUCUACUUUGCUAGUCCUUACACCUGCACAAGCAUGAUCCUUCACCCAUGAUACAUAAUCCGUUUUUGUUUUUGAUAUUCACAACAUUGGGAAUGAAGUUUUGGGCAGGGCAGUGCAACUCUGUCAAAAACUUAUUUUCCUUUUCAAUCUUAGUUUUUUCUCCUCUUUACAGUUUCUUUGAUGUUUUUUUUAAUUUUCCUCAUAUAUCAAGAAUGCAAUUCAUAUUUAUCACAAUCCACUUAGAAAUAAUAA
rnacentral:lncRNA from 1 species